rnacentral:rRNA from 1 species
GACGAACGCUGGCGGCGUGCUUAACACAUGCAAGUCGAACGGAAAGGCCCUGCUUUUGUGGGGUGCUCGAGUGGCGAACGGGUGAGUAACACGUGAGUAACCUGCCCUUGACUUUGGGAUAACUUCAGGAAACUGGGGCUAAUACCGGAUAGGAGCUCCUGCUGCAUGGUGGGGGUUGGAAAGUUUCGGCGGUUGGGGAUGGACUCGCGGCUUAUCAGCUUGUUGGUGGGGUAGUGGCUUACCAAGGCGUUGACGGGUAGCCGGCCUGAGAGGGUGACCGGCCACAUUGGGACUGAGAUACGGCCCAGACUCCUACGGGAGGCAGCAGUGGGGAAUAUUGCACAAUGGGCGGAAGCCUGAUGCAGCAACGCCGCGUGCGGGAUGACGGCCUUCGGGUUGUAAACCUCUUUCGCCUGUGACGAAGCGUGAGUGACGGUAAUGGGUAAAGAAGCACCGGCUAACUACGUG